rnacentral:rRNA from 1 species
GACAGAGGGUGCAAACGUUGCUCGGAAUCACUGGGCGUAAAGGGCUCGUAGGCGGCCAACUAAGUCACACGUGAAAUCCCCAGGCUUAACCUGGGAACUGCGUGUGAUACUGGAUGGCUUGAAUCCGGGAGAGGGAUGCGGAAUUCCAGGUGUAGCGGUGAAAUGCGUAGAUAUCUGGAGGAACACCGGUGGCGAAGGCGGCAUCCUGGACCGGUAUUGACGCUGAUGAGCGAAAGCCAGGGGAGCAAACGGG